rnacentral:rRNA from 1 species
AUUGAACGCUGGCGGCAGGCCUAACACAUGCAAGUCGAGCGGAUGAAGGGAGCUUGCUCCUGGAUUCAGCGGCGGACGGGUGAGUAAUGCCUAGGAAUCUGCCUGGUAGUGGGGGAUAACGUCCGGAAACGGGCGCUAAUACCGCAUACGUCAUGAGGGAGAAAGUGGGGGAUCUUCGGACCUCACGCUAUCAGAUGAGCCUAGGUCGGAUUAGCUAGUUGGUGGGGUAAAGGCCUACCAAGGCGACGAUCCGUAACUGGUCUGAGAGGAUGAUCAGGCACACUGGAACUGAGAAACGGUCCCGACCCCUACGGGAGGGGAGAGUGGGGAAAUUUUGGCAAUGGGCGAAAGCCUGACGCAACCCCGCCGCGUGUGUGAAAAAAGUCUUGGGAUUGUAAAACUCUUUUAAUUGGGAAGAAGAGGUAUGAAGUUAACUCCUCCCUUUUUGACGGUACCUAAACAAAAAGCCACGGCUAACUUCGUG